GUCGAGCGAACGGACGAGAAGCUUGCUUCUCUGAUGUUAGCGGCGGACGGGUGAGUAACACGUGGAUAACCUACCUAUAAGACUGGGAUAACUUCGGGAAACCGGAGCUAAUACCGGAUAAUAUUUUGAACCGCAUGGUUCAAAAGUGAAAGACGGUCUUGCUGUCACUUAUAGAUGGAUCCGCGCUGCAUUAGCUAGUUGGUAAGGUAACGGCUUACCAAGGCAACGAUGCAUAGCCGACCUGAGAGGGUGAUCGGCCACACUGGAACUGAGACACGGUCCAGACUCCUACGGGAGGCAGCAGUAGGGAAUCUUCCGCAAUGGGCGAAAGCCUGACGGAGCAACGCCGCGUGAGUGAUGAAGGUCUUCGGAUCGUAAAACUCUGUUAUUAGGGAAGAACAUAUGUGUAAGUAACCGUGCACAUCUUGACGGUACCUAAUCAGAAAGCCACGGCUAACUACGUGCCAGCAGCCGCGGUAAUACGUAGGUGGCAAGCGUUAUCCGGAAUUAUUGGGCGUAAAGCGCGCGUAGGCGGUUUUUUAAGUCUGAUGUGAAAGCCCACGGCUCAACCGUGGAGGGUCAUUGGAAACUGGAAAACUUGAGUGCAGAAGAGGAAAGUGGAAUUCCAUGUGUAGCGGUGAAAUGCGCAGAGAUAUGGAGGAACACCAGUGGCGAAGGCGACUUUCNUGGUCUGUAACUGACGCUGAUGUGCGAAAGCGUGGGGAUCAAACAGGAUU
rnacentral:rRNA from 1 species